GUACCGCGUUGACGGAGCGAAGCGACGUCAAACCGAUAAAACAGCAGUGUAAAGUGAGCCGCAGGGCGCUUUGCGCGACAGCGCAAAGGCAGGCGGUUUCGCGUAGCGAAAGCGAAUGCUUUGGGGUGGGGUGACUGCGUACCUUUUGUAUAAUGGGUCAGCGACUUAUAUUCUGUAGCAAGGUUAACCGUAUAGGGGAGCCGUAGGGAAACCGAGUCUUAACCGGGCGUUAAGUUGCAGGGUAUAGACCCGAAACCCGGUGAUCUAGCCAUGGGCAGGUUGAAGGUUGGGUAACACUAACUGGAGGACCGAACCGACUAAUGUUGAAAAAUUAGCGGAUGACCUGUGGCUGGGGGUGAAAGGCCAAUCAAACCGGGAGAUAGCUGGUUCUCCCCGAAAGCUAUUUAGGUAGCGCCUCGUGAAUUCAUCUCCGGGGGUAGAGCACUGUUUCGGCUAGGGGGCCAUCCCGGCUUACCAACCCGAUGCAAACUGCGAAUACCGGAGAAUGUUAUCACGGGAGACACACGGCGGGUGCUAACGUCCGUCGUGAAGAGGGAAACAACCCAGACCGCCAGCUAAGGUCCCAAAGUCAUGGUUAAGUGGGAAACGAUGUGGGAAGGCCCAGACAGCCAGGAUGUUGGCUUAGAAGCAGCCAUCAUUUAAAGAAAGCGUAAUAGCUCACUGGUCGAGUCGGCCUGCGCGGAAGAUGUAACGGGGCUAAACCAUGCACCGAAGCUGCGGCAGCGACACUAUGUGUUGUUGGGUAGGGGAGCGUUCUGUAAGCCUGUGAAGGUGUGUCGUGAGGC
rnacentral:rRNA from 1 species